rnacentral:rRNA from 1 species
GUCGAGCGGUAACAGAAAGUAGCUUGCUACUUUGCUGACGAGCGGCGGACGGGUGAGUAAUGCUUGGGAACAUGCCUUGAGGUGGGGGACAACAGUUGGAAACGACUGCUAAUACCGCAUAAUGUCUACGGACCAAAGGGGGCUUCGGCUCUCGCCUUUAGAUUGGCCCAAGUGGGAUUAGCUAGUUGGUGAGGUAAUGGCUCACCAAGGCGACGAUCCCUAGCUGGUUUGAGAGGAUGAUCAGCCACACUGGGACUGAGACACGGCCCAGACUCCUACGGGAGGCAGCAGUGGGGAAUAUUGCACAAUGGGCGCAAGCCUGAUGCAGCCAUGCCGCGUGUGUGAAGAAGGCCUUCGGGUUGUAAAGCACUUUCAGUCAGGAGGAAAGGUUAGUAGUUAAUACCUGCUAGCUGUGACGUUACUGACAGAAGAAGCACCGGCUAACUCCGUGCCAGCAGCCGCGGUAAUACGGAGGGUGCGAGCGUUAAUCGGAAUUACUGGGCGUAAAGCGUACGCAGGCGGUUUGUUAAGCGAGAUGUGAAAGCCCCGGGCUCAACCUGGGAACUGCAUUUCGAACUGGCAAACUAGAGUGUG